AGCCCUGAGGUGUACUCACAUAUUGGAUUGCAAAUCCAGAGAUGCCGACUAAUUCCCGGCCGGGGCUU
rnacentral:tRNA from 1 species